rnacentral:pre_miRNA from 1 species
CCCUGAUUCUUGCUGCAGUGAUAUUUCGAACGGCUAGAUUAUCACCGGGUGACAAUUAGGACA